rnacentral:tRNA from 1 species
UCCCGUGUGGCUCAGUUGGUAGAGCAUGGUGUUUGCAAUGCCAGGGUUGUGGGUUUGAUUCCCACGGGGAA